AGGUCAUAAUGUGCGAGGUGAGGUGGUUGGAGCUGAAGGCCCUUCUUGGAACUCUUCUUCCUUCAUCACCAUAGAACGAUUUGAUUGUAAAUCGAAUUAUCAAUGAAGCAAAAUGAGCUUUUUAUUCUUGCAUCUCCCAUGUGACUGGGUAGUAUUUUUUUAAGAACUUCUCAUUAAUUGGCAACUUGUGAAUAAUACCGGUUCAAUCUCUAAGAUGGUAUGCCCCCUUUCUGAGGACUUUAUGAACGACAAACGAUCCUUCCCAAUUCGGCGACCAUUUACCGAACCUAGGGUCUUUAAUUCCCACGGGUAACACAGUUUGCCAAACUAACUGGUACGUAUAAAAGCACACCACAAAGUAGCACACAAAUAUCCUAUUAAUUUUCCUUAUUAACACUAGGAUUUGUCAAUUGUAGCAUAUGAAAAUAAGGGUCUUUCCCACAGAAGAUUGUUUUAUCCAAAUACUUAAAAUGUCACAAAAACAGGGUGGCUGUCUCCACUGACCAGCCACCGAACAAUAAUUAUUAGACUAACUUACACUUAUCCAAAUGCAACGAAAUGUUAUACACAUAAACUAGACACACCAAGAUAUGCUCACACAUAUUUUUGGGAUUUUUGGAGUUGGUUAGCUAUUUAAAUUAAAUCGGACAAAACAGGACCUCAACAAGUUUUAAAUAAUACCAAUAGAUUUUAAUUCACAAGUUAAGAAAACGAGUUAGGGGAAAUGCUAUCCACCACCAAAUAAUCAUGCAAACAUGUUAUGUUUCAUUCAAAUUCCUUUUAUUUCUGGAUGAAGAUGCUCAAGUUGGCUCAAUGUUAGAACACAACCUAUUACUCUUUCUUACGUAGUAUGUUAAGAGAAUGGCGUUUUCAACUUAACGUAGUCCCUAACAUGCAAUCUAGAAUGGCGUGUUCAUAGAUUUAACAAGUAGAAAUCAUUAAGAACGAAAAGAGUUUGAGUCAUCACAAGGCAUGGUAAGUACUGGCGUUGUCUUACUUAUCCUAGAAAUCGGUUCACAUGUUAACCACAAUUAACAAGUGCUACUCUAGAACAUAUGUAGGUCCUCAUUCAAUAAGGGCAGGUAAACAUAUAUUCAUAGCAUUAAAAUCCUAGAUAUGCUCACUAUGUAUGCAUCCAUAGAAACA
rnacentral:lncRNA from 1 species